CACCACCUCUUUGCUGUCCUACUAGUCAACCCUCCUGAUCAGAGCCUUUCCUAAAUAGUGAAAGGUUCAAAAAGUUCCCUGUACAUGGAACCAUGCCUGUCCUCUGUUCCACAUGUCUUCAGUCCGUUCUGGACCCUAUGACUCUGUUCCACAUGUCUUCAGUCAGUUCUGGACCCCAUGACUCGGACACUAGUUCUACCAAGGCUCAUUAGAGAGUGCUUCAGAGGAUGGCUGAAUUCACAAAACGUGGAGAAGACCGAGAGGGAGAAGUUGGCCGGUUACUACAUUUCACAAAAAAUACAGGACCUUGUGAAAAACGGAAAGAAACAAUUGAAGGAAACUGCUUAAAAAUAUGAAGUAAUGGGUGUUUUGAAAAUGUUUUCAAAUGUGUGUUAAUGUUCAUUGUGUGUUAUAAAUUAUUUUCCUGCUUCUAAUCAUUUGAUGUAUGAGUAUUUAUUUACAGACAUUCUAUACAUUCUGGUACCUUUCUGGUAAGGUAGGUGCUCUGAUCUGAAAUGAUAGAUGUUCAUUGAGCUACUGCAAUUGGGUGAGAGUGUUUCAUCAUCAUAUAUGACCAGCUUAACCAUCAAGUAAUCCCAGUUAAAGUUCUACUCAAGAUCAUACCAGUCGGACCAGCUAAUGGUGACCAGCUAGAACACUGUGACCACCAGCUUUUAC